rnacentral:tRNA from 1 species
UGCUUCGGUAGCUCAGUUGGUAGAGCACUUGCCCGUGAAAGGCAAAGGUUCCGAGUUCGAGUCUCGGCCGGGCAC